ACGCUGGCGGCGUGCUUAACACAUGCAAGUCGAACAGUAAGGCCCUUCGGGGUACACGAGUGGCGAACGGGUGAGUAACACGUGGGUGAUCUGCCCUGCACUUCGGGAUAAGCCUGGGAAACUGGGUCUAAUACCGGAUAGGACUCCUGGCUUCAUGGUUGGGGGUGUAAAGCUUUUGCGGUGUGGGAUGGGCCCGCGGCCUAUCAGCUUGUUGGUGGGGUAAUGGCCUACCAAGGCGACGACGGGUAGCCGGCCUGAGAGGGUGACCGGCCACACUGGGACUGAGAUACGGCCCAGACUCCUACGGGAGGCAGCAGUGGGGAAUAUUGCACAAUGGGCGCAAGCCUGAUGCAGCGACGCCGCGUGAGGGAUGACGGCCUUCGGGUUGUAAACCUCUUUCAAUAGGGACGAAGCGCAAGUGACGGUACCUAUAGAAGAAGGACCGGCCAACUACGUG
rnacentral:rRNA from 1 species